rnacentral:rRNA from 1 species
AACGAACGCUGGCGGCAGGCUUAACACAUGCAAGUCGAACGCCCCGCAAGGGGAGCGGCAGACGGGUGAGUAACGCGUGGGAAUCUACCCAUCUCUACGGAAUAACGCAUGGAAACGUGUGCUAAUACCGUAUACGUCCUUCGGGAGAAAGAUUUAUCGGGGGUGGAUGAGCCCGCGUUGGCUUAGCUAGUUGGUGGGGUAAAGGCCUACCAAGGCGACGAUCCAUAGCUGGUCUGAGAGGAUGAUCAGCCACACUGGGACUGAGACACGGCCCAGACUCCUACGGGAGGCAGCAGUGGGGAAUAUUGGACAAUGGGCGCAAGCCUGAUCCAGCCAUGCCGCGUGAGUGAUGAAGGCCCUAGGGUUGUAAAGCUCUUUCACCGGUGAAGAUAAUGACGGUAACCGGAGAAGAAGCCCCGGCUAACUUCGUGCCAGCAGCCGCAGUAAUAC